GUCCUCACUUCGGCAGCACAUAUAACUAAAAUUGGAACAUUACAGAGAAGAUUAGCAUGGUCCCUGCCUGUGCAAGGAUAACACGAAAACUUUGUUGGGAUGAGUCCAAAGUUGCU
ensembl:snRNA U6 U6 spliceosomal RNA